GGGGAAUAUUGCGCAAUGGGGGAAACCCUGACGCAGCAAUACCGCGUGAGUGAAGAAGGUUUUCGGAUCGUAAAGCUCUGUUAUUGGGGAAGAAAAAAAGACGGUACCCAAGAAGAAAGUCCCGGCUAACUACGUGCCAGCAGCCGCGGUAAUACGUAGGGGACAAGCGUUGUCCGGAUUUAUUGGGUUUAAAGGGAGCGUAGGCGGACUAUUAAGUCAGCUGUGAAAGUUUACGGCUCAACCGUGAAAUUGCAGUUGAAACUGGUCGUCUUGAGUGCAGUAAAGGUGGGCGGAAUUCGUGGUGUAGCGGUGAAAUGCUUAGAUAUCACGAAGAACUCCAAUUGCGAAGGCAGCUCACUGGAGUGUAACUGACGCUGAUGCUCGAAAGUGUGGGUAUCAAACA
rnacentral:rRNA from 1 species